CCUCGGCGGGGCCGGACGCGAAGGGCUCGGGCUCGGGCGCGGGGUCGGGCGCAGCCUCCCCGCCGCCCCCGGUGCUGGGCCGGGGAUGGGGAACGUGGAGAGCGCGGACGGGGAGGCGCUGCCCCGGGGCCCCGGCGGCGGCUCCCCGCUGGGCGGGCCCGGGAUGCUGCCCCCGGGCAAGACGCCGAUGCCGGAGCCCGGCGAGCUGGAGGAGCGCUUCGCCCUGGUGCUGAGCUCCAUGAACCUGCCCCCGGACAAGGCACGGCUCCUGCGGCAGUACGACAACGAGAAGAAAUGGGACCUCAUCUGCGACCAGGAGAGGUUCCAGGUGAAGAACCCGCCACACACCUACAUCCAGAAGCUGCAGAGCUUCCUGGACCCUGGAGUCACGCGCAAGAAGUUUCGGCGGAGGGUGCAGGAGUCGACCAAGGUGCUGCGGGAGCUGGAGAUUAGCCUGAGGACCAACCACAUCGGGUGGGUGCGGGAGUUCCUGAACGACGAGAACAAGGGUCUGGACGUGCUGGUGGAUUACCUCUCCUUCGCCCAGUGCACCGUCAUGUUGGACUUUGAGGGGCUGGACAGCGGCGAGGACGGCGCGCUGGAGAAGCUGAAGUCCUGGAGCAGGUCCAUCGAGGACCUGCAGCACCCGUCCGCGCCCUUUGCCAACAGCCUCGCGCGCUCAGCCCGCCAGUCUGCCCUGCGCUACAGCACCCUGCCCAGCCGCAAGGCCCUGAAGAACUCGCGGCUGGUGAGCCAGAAGGACGACGUGCAUGUCUGCAUCAUGUGCCUCCGCGCCAUCAUGAACUACCAGUACGGCUUCAACCUGGUGAUGUCUCACCCGCACGCCGUGAACGAGAUAGCCCUCAGCCUCAACAACAAGAACCCCAGGACCAAGGCGCUGGUGCUGGAGCUGCUGGCAGCCGUGUGCCUGGUGCGGGGGGGGCACGAGAUCAUCCUCGCCGCCUUUGACAACUUCAAGGAGGUCUGCAAGGAAAAGCACCGGUUUGAGAAGCUGAUGGAGUACUUCCGCCAGGAGGACAGCAGCAUCGACUUCAUGGUGGCUUGCAUGCAGUUCAUCAACAUCGUGGUGCACUCGGUGGAGGACAUGAACUUCCGCGUGCACUUGCAGUACGAGUUCACCAAGCUGGGCCUCGAGGACUUCCUGCAGAAAUCACGGCACACGGAGAGCGAGAAGCUGCUGGUGCAGAUCCAGGCCUACCUGGACAACGUCUUUGAUGUGGGGGGGCUGCUGGAGGACGCCGAGACCAAGAAUGUGGCGCUGGAGAAGGUGGAGGAGCUGGAGGAGCAUCUGUCCCACGUGACAGAGAAGCUGCUGGACCUGGAGAACGAGAACAUGAUGCGGGUGGCGGAGCUGGAGAAGCAGCUGCUGCAGCGGGAGAAGGAGCUGGAGAUGGUCAAGGAGACGUAUGAGAGCACGAGCCGGCAGGUGCGGACAUUGCGCCGCAUGGUGAAGGAGAAGGACGAAGCCCUGGGGCGCCAGCGCAGCGGUGCUGGGCCCCCCCUACCUGGCGAGCUAGGGGGGGGCCCUCUCCCGCCUCCACCGCCCGACGGGGAGCCCGACACCUUUGAGGACAACCUCGGCCUCCCGGCCCUGCCUCCCAUGGAGGCUGUGCCCCCGCCCCCUCCCCCACCGCCCCCCCUGCCCCCGCCUGCCCCCCCGCUGCCAGGAAAGUGCCCACCGGCGCCACCACUACCUGGCGCCUUGCCCUCCAUCGCCCUCACCGUCGGGUUGUCCGCCAUCCGGAUCAAGAAGCCGAUCAAGACCAAGUUCCGGCUGCCCGUUUUCAACUGGACGGCGCUGAAGCCCAACCAGAUCAGCGGCACCGUCUUCAGCGAGCUGGACGACGAGCGCGUCCUGGAGGACCUGGACCUGGAGCGGUUCGAGGAGCUAUUCAAGACGAAGGCGCAGGGCCCCGCGCUGGACGUGCUCUGCGCCAAGGGCAAGGCCACGCACCGGGCAGCUGCCAAGGUGACAUUGCUGGAGGCCAACCGGGCCAAGAACCUGGCCAUCACCCUGCGCAAGGCAGGGCGCAGCGCCGAGGAGAUCUGCCGAGCCAUUCUCACGUUCGACCUGCAGGCACUGCCGGUGGACCUGGUGGAGUGCCUGCUGCGCUUCCUGCCCACCGAGGCGGAGGCCAAGCUGCUGCGGCAGUACGAGCGCGAGCGCAAGGCGCUGGAUGAGCUGGCGGAUGAGGACCGCUUCAUGCUGCACUUCAGCAAGGUGGAGCGGCUGCCCCAGCGCAUGGCCGCCAUGGCCUUCCUGGGCAAUUUCACCGACAGCCUCCAGAUGCUCACGCCGCAACUCAACGCCAUCAUUGCCGCCUCUGCCUCGGUGAAGUCCUCGCAGAAGCUGAAGCAGAUGCUGGAGAUCAUCCUGGCGCUGGGGAACUACAUGAACAGCAGCAAGCGCGGCGCUGUCUACGGCUUCAAGCUGCAGAGCCUGGACCUGCUGCUGGACACUAAGUCAACGGACCGGAAGAUGACGCUGCUGCACUUCAUCGCACUGACCGUGAGGGAGAAGUACCCCGACCUGGCCACGUUCUGGCAGGAGCUGCACUUUGUGGAGAAGGCGGCCGCAGUGUCCCUGGAGAACGUGCUGCUUGAUGUGAAGGAGCUAGGCCGGGGCAUGGAGCUGAUCCGGCGCGAGUGCAGCCUGCAUGAGAGCGCCGUCCUGCGCAGCUUCCUCAGCGCCAGCGAGGGCCGGCUGGAGCAGCUGCAGCGCGACUCCCGCACGGCUGAGGACGCCUACAACACGGUCGUGCGCUACUUUGGCGAGAGCCCUAAGACGAUGCCCCCGUCCGUCUUCUUCCCCAUCUUCGUGCGCUUCAUCCGGUCCUACAAGGAUGCGGAGCAGGAGCACGAGCUGCGGAAGAAGCAGGAGGAGGUGAUGCGGGAGAAGAUGCUGGCGCAGGAGGCCAAGAAGCUGGAGAAGCGCAACAAGUGGCAGCAGCAGGAGCUGAUUGCGGAGCUGCGCCGGCGCCAAGCCAAGGAGCAUCGUCCUGUCUACGAGGGCAAGGACGGUGCCAUCGAGGACAUCAUCACCGCGCUGAAGAGCGUCCCCUUCACGGCCCGCACCGCCAAGCGGGGCUCACGCUUCUUCUGCGACCCGGCCCACCACGACGAGUCUAACUGUUAGCCCCCGACCCCCAGCCGUGAGGAGCAUCCGCCUCUAGCUCCCGGCUGGGCAAAGGACAGACCUGCUCCUGGACUCUGCAGGGACGUGCCCAGGGGGGCUGUGACCCGGGGCCUGCUUGCGGCCGCCGGACGUGCCUUGCAGCCCCUGAACUGCCUUGUGCCAAGUACCUGCGCCAGCGCUGGGCGCCCUACGACCCUGUGCUCCCUGGUCCGGCCCACAAUUGCACUUUGAUGCUCGGGGGGGGGGGGGGGGGGGGGGGGGGGAAGAUGGAGCCCCAUUGUCCCGUGCCACGAACCUCACGGGCAGCCCCAGCUGCCCUAGGCCUGCUCCAUCGCCCGGGUGGGGGCUGCCGGCUGCAGGGAGGGUGAGUGGGGGGCUGUAGGCCAGGCGCAUUGUGCAGCUGGGGGUCCAGGAGGGCCCAUUGGCCCCAAGUCCCGGCUCCGGGGGACAAACACUACGGGUGAGCGGCGGCAGCCCCAGGGACCAGGCCAGCCCCCAGCACCAACACUACGUAACAAGGGACCAAGGCUGCAGUGUUGGCCACGUGGGGGGGUGGGGGAGCUGGGCAGCAGGAUCAUUUUUUACACUACCUGCCCAUCCAGUCCCCCCCUCUCCAGUCCAGACCCAUGUCUCCAUCCCCUCCUGUCACCAUCAGCUGAAGUUGGGGUGGGGGGGAACUUUUUGUACAUGUAAAAUAUACUGAUAAAUGUAUCUA